rnacentral:lncRNA from 1 species
UGGUGGGUCAUUUGGGAUUUCAGGAAUAAAGCGAUUUUCAGGAUGAUCCAGACUGAUCCAACAGUCGGUAUACACAAAAUUAAGCAGUUGACGAACCUGUGGAGGAAAAUUAGGCCGGAGAAGUGACCCAACUGUUAACGUUAGAAGGUGACCCAACUGUAAACAAAAUUUUUUUUUUUCCCACCAUCCUUUGAGGCCUAUGCUGUUUCACCCAUGUAGCUUAAUUCACUUCCUAACUGAAUGAAGCGGGUAGCGUGCUACCUUUCUCUCAAAAAAAAAUUAAUUUUGCGAGCAACGUAAUUAUUGCUGGCCCUACAUGUAGGGCGUAACAAAAUAGUAGAACAUGAUUGCAAAUUUGUAACGCUACAAUAGCUUGGAAUGACUGACCGUCCCUAGCGCAAGUGGCAAAUGGCCUGAUGGUUAGUACUUGAAAUCUCAAGUUCGAAUUCUAAUUUAUUUAUUUGUAACUAAAUUUAUUUUUUAAAAAAAUAAACGAAAUAAAUAACAUGCUGCAUUCCUCUC